GGGGGCUUCCUAGCUCAAGCACGGCCACGACGACCCACCUCGGCAGGUAGGUACCGCUGAUGUACUGGAGCCUUGAUCUUAAUUUUUCUUCAUUGAUGUCCUUGGAGAAGAUGGCCAUUGGAGUGUAGGGGAGGAACAACCUUGUCUUGCUCGAGGAGGAGGACCACCCGAUCUCGACGA